AUUGAACGCUGGCGGCAGGCCUAACACAUGCAAGUCGAGCGGUAGCACAGAGAGCUUGCUCUCGGGUGACGAGCGGCGGACGGGUGAGUAAUGUCUGGGAAACUGCCUGAUGGAGGGGGAUAACUACUGGAAACGGUAGCUAAUACCGCAUAACGUCGCAAGACCAAAGUGGGGGACCUUCGGGCCUCAUGCCAUCAGAUGUGCCCAGAUGGGAUUAGCUAGUAGGUGGGGUAACGGCUCACCUAGGCGACGAUCCCCAGCUGGUCUGAGAGGCUGACCAGCCACACUGGAACUGAGACACGGUCCAGACUCCUACGGGAGGCAGCAGUGGGGAAUAUUGCACAAUGGGCGCAAGCCUGAUGCAGCCAUGCCGCGUGUGUGAAGAAGGCCUUCGGGUUGUAAAGCACUUUCAGCGGGGAGGAAGGCGCCAAGGUUAAUAACCUUGGCGAUUGACGUUACCCGCAGAAGAAGCACCGGCUAACUCCGUGCCAGCAGCCGCGGUAA
rnacentral:rRNA from 1 species